ACUUAAAUUGAAGAGUUUGAUCAUGGCUCAGAUUGAACGCUGGCGGCAGGCCUAACACAUGCAAGUCGAGCGGUAGCACAGAGAGCUUGCUCUCGGGUGACGAGCGGCGGACGGGUGAGUAAUGUCUGGGAAACUGCCUGAUGGAGGGGGAUAACUACUGGAAACGGUAGCUAAUACCGCAUAACGUCGCAAGACCAAAGUGGGGGACCUUCGGGCCUCAUGCCAUCAGAUGUGCCCAGAUGGGAUUAGCUAGUAGGUGGGGUAAUGGCUCACCUAGGCGACGAUCCCUAGCUGGUCUGAGAGGAUGACCAGCCACACUGGAACUGAGACACGGUCCAGACUCCUACGGGAGGCAGCAGUGGGGAAUAUUGCACAAUGGGCGCAAGCCUGAUGCAGCCAUGCCGCGUGUAUGAAGAAGGCCUUCGGGUUGUAAAGUACUUUCAGCGAGGAGGAAGGCAUUAAGGUUAAUAACCUUGGUGAUUGACGUUACUCGCAGAAGAAGCACCGGCUAACUCCGUGCCAGCAGCCGCGGUAAUACGGAGGGUGCAAGCGUUAAUCGGAAUUACUGGGCGUAAAGCGCACGCAGGCGGUCUGUCAAGUCGGAUGUGAAAUCCCCGGGCUCAACCUGGGAACUGCAUUCGAAACUGGCAGGCUAGAGUCUUGUAGAGGGGGGUAGAAUUCCAGGUGUAGCGGUGAAAUGCGUAGAGAUCUGGAGGAAUACCGGUGGCGAAGGCGGCCCCCUGGACAAAGACUGACGCUCAGGUGCGAAAGCGUGGGGAGCAAACAGGAUUAGAUACCCUGGUAGUCCACGCCGUAAACGAUGUCGACUUGGAGGUUGUGCCCUUGAGGCGUGGCUUCCGGAGCUAACGCGUUAAGUCGACCGCCUGGGGAGUACGGCCGCAAGGUUAAAACUCAAAUGAAUUGACGGGGGCCCGCACAAGCGGUGGAGCAUGUGGUUUAAUUCGAUGCAACGCGAAGAACCUUACCUACUCUUGACAUCCAGAGAACUUAGCAGAGAUGCUUUGGUGCCUUCGGGAACUCUGAGACAGGUGCUGCAUGGCUGUCGUCAGCUCGUGUUGUGAAAUGUUGGGUUAAGUCCCGCAACGAGCGCAACCCUUAUCCUUUGUUGCCAGCGAUUCGGUCGGGAACUCAAAGGAGACUGCCAGUGAUAAACUGGAGGAAGGUGGGGAUGACGUCAAGUCAUCAUGGCCCUUACGAGUAGGGCUACACACGUGCUACAAUGGCAUAUACAAAGAGAAGCGACCUCGCGAGAGCAAGCGGACCUCAUAAAGUAUGUCGUAGUCCGGAUUGGAGUCUGCAACUCGACUCCAUGAAGUCGGAAUCGCUAGUAAUCGUAGAUCAGAAUGCUACGGUGAAUACGUUCCCGGGCCUUGUACACACCGCCCGUCACACCAUGGGAGUGGGUUGCAAAAGAAGUAGGUAGCUUAACCUUCGGGAGGGCGCUUACCACUUUGUGAUUCAUGACUGGGGUGAAGUCGUAACAAGGUAACCGUAGGGGAACCUGCGGUUGGAUCACCUCCUUACCUUAAAGAA
rnacentral:rRNA from 1 species